CAAGUAAAUAUGUGUUCUUCGGAAUAUGCAUUUUCAAACCCCUCUGUGUACCUCACCUGUUGCUUCCGUGCUGCGUGGAUUUCGGUCCCCUCCCUUGCAGGAGUGCCGGCACGGCUAACAAAAUUCUUGCAUUUCAUGUCAUCUGUCUGAACUGUUAAAUACAAAAAGUU
rnacentral:misc_RNA from 1 species